CUGCAGGUUUUGGUGGUCGGCGGUGACGCGGCGGCGGAUGGGGGGCUCCAUGUGUUCUGGCUCCACUCCUUCGUGGGUGUGCGUAGCGUUGGAUGUCCUUGCAAGUCGGUUGUCCGCGUGUGCGAGGUGGAGAGUGGCAUAGCCUCGGUGAAAGCCGUGCUCUGGCCUUGGCUGGGCCCAACGAUGGCGAUGCCUGUGGACGUCGUUACCUUCUUG
rnacentral:lncRNA from 1 species